rnacentral:rRNA from 1 species
AGUGAACGCUGGCGGUAGGCCUAACACAUGCAAGUCGAACGGCAGCACAGUAAGAGCUUGCUCUUACGGGUGGCGAGUGGCGGACGGGUGAGGAAUACAUCGGAAUCUACUUUUUCGUGGGGGAUAACGUAGGGAAACUUACGCUAAUACCGCAUACGACCUACGGGUGAAAGCAGGGGAUCUUCGGACCUUGCGCGAUUGAAUGAGCCGAUGUCGGAUUAGCUAGUUGGCGGGGUAAAGGCCCACCAAGGCGGCGAUCCGUAGCUGGUCUGAGAGGAUGAUCAGCCACACUAGAACUGAGACACGGUCCAGACUACUACGGGAGGCAGCAGUGGGGAAUAUUGGACAAUGGGCGCAAGCCUGAUCCAGCCAUACCGCGUGGGUGAAGAAGGCCUUCGGGUUGUAAAGCCCUUUUGUUGGGAAAGAAAAGCAGCAGGUUAAUACCCCGCUGUUCUGACGGUACCCAAAGAAUAAGCACCGGCUAACUUCGUG